rnacentral:sRNA from 1 species
GGCUGUGAGGGUGAUCUGACUGUGACAUCUGCCACCCCAUUGAUCGCCAGGGUUGAUUUGGCUGAUCUUACUGGUUAGGCAAGUCUCCCCUUCCUCCCUCACCCCUCCAUGCGUGUCCCUCCUGAAACUGAGUGCUCAAUUGAAGAGGACACCCAUCCCCGCUAGAGAAGAACCAUUCGCUUCCCCCUACCAGAAUCUCCAGAAACAGCUCGAGGUUCAGACACUCUGUGGGAAGGCUGGAGAACGAACACAGCACCUCUGAAAAUGUGGAGACCGCCACACAGCUGGGCCAUAGGGCUGUGUCUUGAAUUU